GACGAACGCUGGCGGCGUGCUUAACACAUGCAAGUCGAACGAUGAAGAAAAGAAUUGAAGCUUCGGCAGAAAUUCAUUUCGGAUUAGUGGCAGACGGGUGAGUAACGCGUGAGCAACCUACCUCUUACAAAGGGAUAGCCUCGGGAAACCGGGAUUAAUACCGUAUAACAUUGCGACGAAGCAUUUCGAUGCAAUCAAAGCUACGGCGGUAAGAGAUGGGCUCGCGUCCCAUUAACCAGAUGGUGAGGUAACGGCUCACCAUAGUAACGAUGGGUAACCGGCCUGAGAGGGUGAACGGUCACACUGGAACUGAGACACGGUCCAGACUCCUACGGGAGGCAGCAGUGGGGAAUAUUGCACAAUGGAGGGAACUCUGAUGCAGCGACGCCGCGUGAGUGAUGAAGGAAUUCGUUUCGUAAAACUCUGUUCUAUGGGAAGAAAAGGACUGUACCAUAGGAGAAAGCUCCGGCUAAAUACGUG
rnacentral:rRNA from 1 species